UACAGAGGGGGCAAGCGUUGUUCGGAAUUACUGGGCGUAAAGGGCGCGUAGGCGGCCCGCUAAGUCGAACGUGAAAUCCCCAGGCUUAACCUGGGAACUGCGUCCGAUACUGGCAGGCUUGAAUCCGGGAGAGGGAUGUGGAAUUCCAGGUGUAGCGGUGAAAUGCGCAGAUAUCAGGAGGAACACCGGUGACGAAGGCGGGUCUCUGGGCCGUAACUGACGCUGAGGAGCGAAAGCGUGGGGAGCGAACAGG
rnacentral:rRNA from 1 species